GCAUGUUAGGCUCAUAGUGGGGUCGGAGAAGGGAAAGCUGAAUACUGUGCCAGCUGCUGAGGGUAGCAAGAAGCUGAGUGGAUGCUUGAUGACAACUUGGGGAUGGGCAGACUCGGCAGCGUCCUGGCUUGCACCCUUGGCAGUGAACAGAACUGGAGGCUCAGUGCUGCGGAGGGUGUAGUCCCACCACUUCCUCCAGCCACAGGUGAAGGGAACAUUAACCUGACAAUGCAGGAUAAGGUGGAAUGAUGGAUAGAACUCAACGUAUAAAAGAAAGGAAAAUCAGAACAAGACAUGAAAGAUGUUGUUUAUGGGAAGCAAGAGCGAGGG